GUGGGGAAUCUUGCACAAUGGACGAAAGUCUGAUGCAGCGAUCCCGCGUGAAGGAUGAAGCAUUACGGUGUGUAAACUUCUUUUUUGGUGGAAGACGAAUGACGGUACACCAAGAAUAAGAGACGGCUAACUACGUGCCAGCAGCCGCGGUAAUACGUAGGUCUCAAGCGUUAUCCGGAUUUACUGGGCGUAAAGUAUCCGUAGCCUGAUAUGUAAGUCUGUUUUCAAAUCCCACGACUCAAUCGUGGAAAGGGAAUGGAUACUGCAUAUCUAGAAGUUAUUGGGGGUUAGUGGAAUUUCCGGUGGAGCGGUGAAAUGCGUUGAUAUCGGAAAGAACGCCGAAAGCGAAAGCAGCUAACUAUGAUUAACUUGACGGUGAGGGAUGAAAGUUUGGGUAGCAAACGGGAUUAGAUACCCUAGUAGUCC
rnacentral:rRNA from 1 species